AGGGCAGCCCUUUUCUCUCCAAGAACCUCCCUGGAGUUGGAUGAGGGGCCAGAGACUUGCCUGGCAGCCUUAAUUAGGAUAGAUGCAGUUUUGGAGACAAUCUGUUCCGGAGACCCUGUGCAGGACACAUUUGUACCCUGGGCUCUGGCGCUGCUCUUGCCAGUAGUAGCCUGACUUCACAUGCCUCGAUGGAAUUCUCUGGCAGAACCUCUCCAAAAUGUGUGGAAAAUCUGUCUCUCCAGGUCCUCCUUCUUCACUUCAAGGUGAAACCAGUGACUUCCCGCAUUGCCUCUGUGGGAGCCGGGUGAGCACUAAUGAUCUGCUGGUGCCCAACAGGAACCGCCACAGAGCUUCCGAUCUUUCCAGAAGUAGGCAGGAAAUCGAGAGAGCAUCAUUUCAUGGAAACCAAAUUGGGAGACUGGCCAGCAGCAUUGGAUGAAGAAGGAGUCACAAAAUCAGGACUAAAGAGUGCUCUUUGGCGUUGGCAUUUCCAAGGUUUAUUGGUACCCUUCUGUCUAAUUGAAUAUCAAGGGAAGAGACUGAGGCAGAGAGGGAAGAAACAGAUUGAUGAAGGAGCCACAAAUGAGUCAUUGUUCGAGGCUGGGACGUGAAGAUUUUAUAAGAAAAGCCGGUGGGCUCCCAGACGAAGUUAAAAAGCUUCAAGUGUCCCCCACGAACUUCUGGAUCUCCUGUAUCCCCAGCAGACCCUCACCUCCCUGCCUCUGAGGUCAGAGGCCACCUUGAACGGUGGGUCCAAGGUAAGUACACGCCCGUGCCCCUUGCAAGCCUGCCUCCCUCGAAUUAAGCAUUGCCAGACAUGCAAGGCAAAACACCGUCCGUGGGACAUUAAUAAAUGUGUGGGCAAACAAGAUUCAUAUUCAUAUAAUCUUGCAAAACACUUGAAAUUUCUUACUGUAGGCCUUUUUUUUCCCCUCUGAGUCUUUGCUCUGUCACCAUGCAUGAUGACCCUCCAAGAGGGGUUCUAUUUCCCAAAUGUAUCUGGCAAGAUGGGACUUUUUUCCUAGAGCGUCUCUUAAGCUCACCUUGGCUUGGAAGAGACUUUAGGGCAUUUGGUUUUGAUGCGUGCAAUCAAGCUGCCGUUUGACAGCUGUCACAUGCUUUUUUUUCCAGACAGUUCCACGUCUCAUGUCCUUAUGCUCUGUGUGUAUCUAGCACAUACAGGGCACUGCGUAUAGUAGAAGUCCUAUGAUCCCUGCUAAAUGUUGGGGACUGUCAGAAUAAAUGUGUGGAAUUGGGAUAGGGCCUCCUGGGAAAGCGCUGUUUGCAAGUUUUCAGGCCUGGGAUUGAUGAGCUGUGUGGCUCUGGAGAAUCUUCUCAGCUUCCCUGGGUGGCAUUCUGCUUACCCUGCAGUGGGCAUGAUGAUAUCUGAUUCCCAGGAACUUGGAGGAAAGGUGAACGAGAUAACAGACGCACUGGCCUAGAGCCACUGCUGGGUGUGUCAGGACAAUAGCGUGUGCGGUUUGAGUCUUGGCACGGUGGGCAAAGUACGGGAAACCCCAAAUUCCCUGAUGCCCCAAAUCCUUUCCUCUUUCAGAGAGCCAGACAGCAGGCAGUGUGGAAGUACUUUUGGGGCGGGGAUACAGCGGCUCCUGUCCUCCCCCCUGGCUCUUCCCUCCGAGGCCUGCCCUCAGGUUCCUGACCCUGCGGUGCUGCCACAGCCUGGCUUGUGAACCGGGCAGCAGCAGGGCCUCCCGGGGGCAGCAGCUGACCACACUUGGCAGUUUUUGCAACAGUUGUAGCGCUGGUCUCGAUGCGCCCCUUGGCGAUACCUGCCCCGGCCUGCGGGCAUCCCCCUGCAGGGGCCCGAGUCCCUGUCCAUGGUCCCCGGAGCCUCCUAAUUCCAACUGUCUUCAUCUUCCCAGCCCUAGUGGUGGCUCUGUCUCCUGCAGUGGGUUGAACCAUGACGCCUGGGGGUUUUCUUACCCUUUCGGCUGCCUAGUUAUCAACUAGAUUCCCAGUGAACAAUUCUUAACGUUAAAUGGUUUCCGUUCCCAUAACUGGGUUGACUUCUGUCUCCUGACGGGACCCUGGCUGAUAGUGGACAGAAGGAAGAAUGGCAGGAAGGAAGGAAGGAAGGGAGGAGCUAGAAGGAAGGACAGAAGCCAUCUGUCUUCUAAAUCCACAUCUUGUGCUCGCCCCCGGAACCCUCAGCUGCCAGUCAAGUCCGGGGCUGGCUGGCUUGCACCCUGCCUCUGACCAGAAACAAGAACCCUCCGUGCGUGGGGCUGCCCCCAAGCAGGAUAACCCGUUUCCACAGAUUAGCUGGUUAAGCAUGAUGGGUCUCUUGUUUUCUCGUGGAAAUGGCUGCUCAAAUGUGUUUUUCUUUAAGGUGAUGGAAAGUCAUCCGUGAUUCAUUAAAGUGUUUGGCGAUGUUGAUUGCUGUUAUAAUGAUUAUUACAUUGUCGUAUUAGGUUAUAGCUAUUAACAUUGUCACUUUUAUGGGAAACUGCUAAUGAACCAGUCACAAGAACAGAAGAUACUAAGCCCAUGAACUUGGUGUUUGGGGCGUGCUUGCUUCAUGAGCUCAAAGGGAGACUGGGGGCUUUUCCUAUGCUGGGCUCAAGAGUGUGUUCUCUGAAAUCAGAUAGCUCGAUUCCACCUCCCGUUCACUGUAGGCUCACUUAGCUUUCCUGUUCUCUGAGUUCCCAGCUCUGAACGAGGGAGAAGCAUAAUAAUAAUAACACCUCCUCAGAGAUUAUUGGCAGAUUAGAUAACAGAACUUUCUCCAGAGCUAUCUCCAAUAACCGUCACUGCUUCUGUAAACAGAUCCGGACCCAACAAUUUCUUCAGCCCUGAGACCCCUCUUUCUGCCCCAACCUCAACUUUUAAGCUUAUUUCUUCCAGCAACUACCCAGUGAAACAAGGAAGUGGAUGGAUGCCAUCUUUGUGUGUCAGUGUGAUCAGCGACAGUGGGUGGCCCUUUGGUGGGGCUUUGUACAUGCUCACUGAACCAACUCUUGGUAGGCCCCAGGCUUUAGGUGUCAUGAAGAGUAGAGACUGGACCCACAAUCUAACACUCCAUGGACUUGACACGAUUCUGGAUAGCCAGAGACAAUACACACUGAUCUUACUAAAGUGGUUCUCCAAUGAGAAUCCCUGGGAAGCUCAUCAAAUAAGAUGCAGAUCCUCAGCCCUGUCCCGAGAGACGCUGAAUCGCUAGGUCUGGGAUGGGCUCUGAUGGUUAUAUCACAACAAGCUCCUGGGGAAACUGGGGUGCCAUGUGGGUGCCCUGAGGACGACACUCGAGGAAUAUUGCAUUGUGGGGUCAUUGCGAGGUCUCAGUGCAGCUGUAAAUAGACUUGCACCUGGUUGGUGCACAUCAUCUCCCUUCGUUGAUUAGGAGAUCCUUGCUGGUAGGAUGUCUGCUGGGUUUUAGGUCAUGAUGUUUGGGCUUAAACUUCAGACCCGCCAAAAACAGCUGUGAAAGCUGAGACCCAUUGCUGACUUUCGGGGGUGUCAUUUUUCUUCUCACCUGCCCAUACAGAUUUGAAGGGAACCUUUUAAGGGUAUCACAUGAGAUAUUAUAUGAGAAAAGUGCUUCGUAAACCAUAAAAUAGCUUUCAAAUGUUAAUUAUUUUUAAAUUUAUGGGUUCAUUUUAUUUUAUGAUGAGUCUCCAAAUCCAUAUUCUUAAUCCUAAAUAAGAAAUUAUUUUUCAAAAAUAAAGAAUCGUUUACAAGGUGAAUUGCAAUGAAGUCAGCCCAGGGGACCACUUGUAAUCCACAAAGGCAGUGCUGAAAGGGGACAGGGACCACCGGCCUGAUCCGUCAGGUGUAGGUUCUGAGUGGGGACAGAGCGGUGUGACCUGCCCCCAUGUCCCCAGAACAGGGUAGGCCGAAGUGAGGUCCUGCUUGUGGCACUGCCCAGGCCUCCUUCUCCUAUCUCUGCUGAGGCCUCAGGUCUGGUCCCCUCCCCUGUCCCCCACACUCCACUCUCCAUCCACACACCUCUCUUGUCCUCUCCUGUACUCCACAGGUGGGGUCAAGGAGCAGGCCACACCUUUCCUGUUGCCACCUGCACGUUUCUCAUAAUGAGGAUAACCCAUAUUUCCACAACUCUGACCCUGGCUACUGUCUUUGACUUGCAAAGAGCUGGUGAAGGGAAAGUCAACACAGCUCUGAGCCAGACAGACUUAAGGGCACACUGUGCCCAGUAAGCUUCUGUCCUCGAUGCGUCUUCUAGCCUCUGCCCCUCACUCUCAUCCUUGUCUAGGAGAUGGUGUUAAAGAUAAGCUCCUGUCUUCAUCAAAGUGAUCAAUAAAUGAGAGUAAGAAAUGAAAGGAACAGGCAUUAAUAAAGCACCUACUGUGUGCCUGGCCCUUCAGCCACGUGAUUCCAUAUGAUCUUCUCCCAGGCCAGUGCUGUUGGGUUGUUACUGUCCUCGUUCCACCAAUUGGGACGUCCUGCCAACGUCCCACCAACAGUGCUGUUGGGUUGUUACUUGUCCUCUUCAAGAACGCAAGAAUGGUUGACGCUUGCAUUCGCUAGCACCCGGGAUGUGGCCAAGAGACAGCCAUGCCCUCUCCAUUUGCAAGGGAGUACAUUCUACCAGAAAUGGGAAUAUGUGCAAUCUGCCAAAGGCCGCAUGGCCUGCACGUGGCUUAGCAAGAACUGAAACCCAGCCUGCCUGGUUCAGAGCAACCCUUUCAUGCUCAUGCAGUGGGUGAGCCAGCUCUCCUGCCGGGGACACACGGGGUGUCGCUUCCAUGCCCUGGACCUACGCAGAUCUGUGGGGACCUGUGUGCUCAGGGACGGCUCCCGUCUCCCUUGGCUCUUCUCUUCUCCUUCCCCCUCACUGUCUCUCAGAUUUUGCAAUUGCCUCAUUAAAAUGCAAUUGUGUGAUUCAUCAACAUUAUAGGAGAAAGCAGUUAGAUAAAAUACAGGGAAAAAAUGAGUAUUUGCAGAGACAAGUAGUAUCGAGCUUUCUACCUCAUCAAGGGGCUAAAUGCAUGCAUGUUAGCCCUAUCACCCUGACGUCCAGAAAUCCCCGGAGUGUGGAGGGGUUUUUUUCCUCUUCAGUCUCUUAUAUGAUCCAUGAUCUUUACGUUUCGCCCACCCUUGUGAAAGCUAAUGGCAUCAUUUUCAUGCAUGGACACGGGCCUGCCAGCUGACAGUGGUUAGCAAUUCUUAUUACAAAUAUAUCUUCUAAUUCCCGAGCUAGAAUUGUAAAGCUUUUCUAUAGUGACACUGAACCAAAAUAUCGAAAUUGCUCAAGCCUUUAAAGAAAGCAGCAGCAAAAGGUUGCAGAACGCCUUUUAAGUAAUGCUGCAGCAAGGCUCUCUGGAAUACAGAUACAUGCCUGCCUGGGCCUUCCUGUCACCUCAGAUCACCCUGGAAUUCAGACUGCAAACUUCCAGUGCCUUUGGCAGGAAUUGCAGACAGGCAGAGAGAGAGAGAGAAAGAGAGAGAGAGAGAGAGAGAGGUGGGGGGGGGGUCUCUUUGAAAAGUAACUUCUACACAGUUUUGAUCAUUACCACUGUCUGAACAUGGAGAAGCCUCUUUGCAGUUUGGAAUGGAAAUGAUAAAACAGGAUGUGCAUGUCAGUUACAACCUGUAGGCUUAUCCUUUGAAGGCAUCCCCCUCCCUGUUCAGGGGCCACAUCCACUUUGGCUUUUCCUUCAAGAUGUAAUUCCCUGUCCAUAUUCAUAAUGAAGGCAUCCUUCACUUCCCCCUUCCUGUCCCAGGCUCCCUCUGGGCUCACCACCCUCUUCCUUCUCCCCAUCACAGCUAAGCAAGUGUGGACAAGGGAAACAUUCUGGCUUUGAAGUCAGUCUGGACUCCCAUCUUGGACGUAAGAUUUAGGGCAAGACGUUUAACCUCUCAAAGCCUUCCUUACUUCACCAAAUGCACUUAAUGAUAUUUGUUUCGUGGAAGUGUU